GAUGGUACUGAAUCUGCAAAGCUUGCUUUCCAGUCCCUUAGCUAGAGGUGCUGAAAUGCUCCAUAAGGCCAGGAUCAAAGGAGGGAGGUUUUGUAAAGUGGCAUUCACAGAUUAAAUCUGGCACCCCCAGCGAGUCUUGGACAGCUGGACAAGUUCUCUCUCCCUACCCCUUGCUUCUUUAAGGCUUGUAAUUUAUGAUGGUGGACAAGAGAUGUGGAAAAGAAAGUAGAGACACUCCAGGAGAUCAAAGAAGUUGCAUUCCUCUUGGAUGGCUUUGCAUGUGGAACAAAGGACAAGAUUAAGUUCAUGGGCAUUACAAUGGAUAUAUAGUGCCUCUGGAUGCUUUUGUCUAAAUCAAGCUUGUACACCUCUCAGUGCUCCACUCAUAACAGAAGCACCAUCACUGGAUUGAGCAAUGCAUUUAAGGUGUCUUCCCUGAUAGCAUCAACUUUUGGGUCAUAUGUGAUAUUUAACUGGCACAUGGCUGAGAUAUGGCAUAGCAAAACACAUGAGGGCCAAAUCAUUAUCACAUACGUUUUACCAUAUCUUCAAAAUUGGGGGGAAUUUCUCUUCUGGAUCACUUCUGAAAUUAAAGCACUUGGCCCAGAUAAAAGUAUUGACUUUUGGGCCACAUGUGGUAUGUUAAUGGAACAUGUGACACUGCAAAACAUAUAUAGGCCAAAUCAUAACCACAUACAUUUCGCCAUACCUUCAAAAUUGGAGAGAAUUUCACUUCAGGAUUACCUCUGAAAUUUAGGUACCUGGCCCAGAUAAGAACUGACAGCUGGGGACCACAUGUGGUGUGGUACUGGCAAUCAUGUGAACUGACAUGCAUUGAUGUUCCCCAAACAUCACCCAAAUGGUUUGCACCUGCUGCUGCACCUGUAUUUGGCUUCAACCUGAAAGACACAUUCUGGAAGGUUAUGAAAGCAACCUUUUCAACUGCUGUUGUAAGACAGAUGAACUGGAGGGGGGGUGAAUUAAAAAAUGUCUGUCCAGCAGCUGAUCUUGAAGACAGUUUUCAUUGCACUGUCAGGCGAAACCCUAUGACGGCAACCGUUUCAGACAAGGAGGUGGAAGUACUGAUGGUAAAGUGGCUUCACCUGGCUGGUGACAGAGAUGGUAGGAGGAAACAAAGACAAAAAAAGCUGACAAAGCUGAUAAUUAAGAGACUAUACACUUUAUUCUUGUUCUUUUUAUUUGUACUCCAUAUAUACAUUGUUCUUGUUGGUGUUUUUAUUUGCACUCCACUGACACUCUAAGUUCUCAAAGGCUUUUAUCAAGAAUGUUAUUGCUAGUGGGUUGGCUCACAGACCUGUGCUGUAAGGAUUUUGUAAAUAAAUUUUAAAAAAAAGUUA